GAUGAACGCCAGCGGCAGGCCUAACACAUGCAAGUCGAGGGGUAGCAGGAUUAAGCUUGCUUAAUUGCUGACGACCGGCGCACGGGUGCGUAACGCGUAUGCAACCUACCUUAUACUGGGGUAUAGCCCGGAGAAAUUCGGAUUAAUCCCCCAUAGUACUAAUGAAUCGCAUGGUUUAUUAGUUAAAGCAUUGCGGUAUAAGAUGGGCAUGCGUCCUAUUAGCUAGAUGGUGAGGUAACGGCUCACCAUGGCUACGAUAGGUAGGGGGCCUGGGAGGGUGGUCCCCCACACUGGUACUGAGACACGGACCAGACUCCUACGGGAGGCAGCAGUGAGGAAUAUUGGUCAAUGGGCGCAAGCCUGAACCAGCCAUGCCGCGUGCAGGAAGAAUGCCCUAUGGGUUGUAAACUGCUUUUAUUUGGGAAUAAACCUCUUUACGUGUAGAGAGCUGAAGGUACCAAAUGAAUAGCACCGGCUAACUCCGUGCCAGCCGCCGCCGUAA
rnacentral:rRNA from 1 species